rnacentral:rRNA from 1 species
UACGGAGGGUGCAAGCGUUAUCCGGAUUCACUGGGUUUAAAGGGUGCGUAGGUGGGUUGGUAAGUCAGUGGUGAAAUCCCCGAGCUUAACUUGGGAACUGCCAUUGAUACUAUCAGUCUUGAAUACCGUGGAGGUCAGUGGAAUAUGUCAUGUAGCGGUGAAAUGCUUAGAUAUGACAUAGAACACCGAUAGCGGAGGCAGCUUACUACGCGAUUAUUGACACUGAGGCACGAAAGCGUGGGGAUCAAACAGG